rnacentral:rRNA from 1 species
AUUGAACGCUGGCGGCAGGCCUAACACAUGCAAGUCGAACGGCAGCACAGAAGAGCUUGCUCUUUGGGUGGCGAGUGGCGGACGGGUGAGUAAUGUCUGGGAAACUGCCCGAUGGAGGGGGAUAACUACUGAAAACGGUAGCUAAUACCGCAUAACGUCGCAAGACCAAAGUGGGGGACCUUCGGGCCUCACACCAUCGGAUGUGCCCAGAUGGGAUUAGCUAGUAGGUGGGGUAAUGGCUCACCUAGGCGACGAUCCCUAGCUGGUCUGAGAGGAGGACCAGCAACACUGGAACUGAGACACGGUCCAGACUCCUACGGGAGGCAGCAGUGGGGAAUAUUGCACAAUGGGCGCAAGCCUGAUGCAGCCAUGCCGCGUGUAUGAAGAAGGCCUUCGGGUUGUAAAGUACUUUCAGCGGGGAGGAAGGCGGUGGGGUUAAUAACCUCGCCGAUUGACGUUACCCGCAGAAGAAGCACCGGCUAACUCCGUGCCGGCCGCCGCCGUAA